CCUGAGAAGAAGAGGUCUGUAGGUAGAAGAUCCUAUCAUUGGUUGGAAUUUUUGGAGGCUCAAUUUUUUUUUGUGUGUUCUACCUGGGAUGAAUUUGAGCAAACCAGAUCUGUUGCUGUUGUAUAAUGGAUACCAGA